rnacentral:rRNA from 1 species
GAUCCUGGCUCAGGAUGAACGCUGGCGGCGCGCCUAACACAUGCAAGUCGAACGGACGAUGAAGAGCUUGCUUUUCAAAGUUAGUGGCGGACGGGUGAGUAACGCGUGGGUAACCUGCCUCAUACAGGGGAAUAGCAGCUGGAAACGGCUGAUAAAACCGCAUAAGCGCACAGUGCCGCAUGGCACAGUGUGAAAAACUACCGGUGGUAUGAGAUGGACCCGCGUCUGAUUAG